UACGGGGGGGGCAAGCGUUGUUCGGAAUUACUGGGCGUAAAGGGCUCGUAGGCGGCCCACUAAGUCAGACGUGAAAUCCCUCGGCUUAACCGGGGGAACUGCGUCUGAUACUGGAGGGCUUGAGUUUGGGAGAGGGAUGCGGAAUUCCAGGUGUAGCGGUGAAAUGCGUAGAUAUCUGGAGGAACACCGGGUGGCGAAGGCGGCAUCC
rnacentral:rRNA from 1 species